GGAGGAAUGGCAGAGUGGUCGAUUGCGGCAGUCUUGAAAACUGUUGACUGUAACAGGUCCAGGGGUUCGAAUCCCUUUUCCUCCG
rnacentral:tRNA from 1 species